AUUGAACGCUGGCGGCAGGCUUAACACAUGCAAGUCGAGCGGGGUGAUGGUGCUUGCACUAUCACUUAGCGGCGGACGGGUGAGUAAUGCUUAGGAAUCUGCCUAUUAGUGGGGGACAACAUCUCGAAAGGGAUGCUAAUACCGCAUACGUCCUACGGGAGAAAGCAGGGGAUCACUUGUGACCUUGCGCUAAUAGAUGAGCCUAGGUCGGAUUAGCUAGUUGGUGGGGUAAAGGCCUACCAAGGCGACGAUCUGUAGCGGGUCUGAGAGGAUGAUCCGCCACGCUGGGACUGGGACACGGCCCAGACUCCUACGGGAGGCAGCAGUGGGGAAUAUUGGACAAUGGGGGGAACUCUGAUCCAGCCAUGCCGCGUGUGUGAAGAAGGCCUUAUGGUUGUAAAGCACUUUAAGCGAGGAGGAGGCUCUUUUGGUUAAUACCCAAGAUGAGUGGACGUUACUCGCAGAAUAAGCACCGGCUAACUCUGUGCCAGCAGCCGCGGUAA
rnacentral:rRNA from 1 species